UACGUAGGGUGCAAGCGUUGUCCGGAUUUAUUGGGCGUAAAGAGCGUGUAGGCGGCCAGAUAGGUCAGCUGUGAAAACUCGAGGCUCAACCUCGAGACGUCGGUUGAAACCAUCUGGCUAGAGUCCGGGAGAGGAGAGUGGAAUUCCUGGUGUAGCGGUGAAAUGCGCAGAUAUCAGGAAGAACACCCGUGGCGAAAGCGGCUCUCUGGAACGGUACUGACGCUGAGACGCGAAAGCGUGGGGAGCGAACAGG
rnacentral:rRNA from 1 species